AGCAGUAGGACAGCUAAUGGGGAAGUGUGAGCGGGAGUGGCUGCGGGCGAUGGGGGCAGCAGGGAGCAAACAGAAAGGCCCAAAAAGCCAGAGAUCCGUGGGUUGCGUAAGGCUGUGGGAUCUGAAAGAUAAAAAUAACGAAGAGCCAAUGGGGAGCCACGCGCCGGUUGCAUAGGGGAGGGAUGACGAUAAUGGCUGCAGAGAGCCAAUGAAGAGUAUUCCUGGCCAUCAGGCCCCCUGUGGGCUUUUCCAGAAAGGCCUGAAGCCGGUCUUGCAGAGAGGUCGGAGUGGGCAUUGGAUGACAGAACUCUGGGUCAUGCAGAGUGCUGGGGAGCCAGGAGUCUCAACCCUGGCCUGUCAGGAGAAGCUCCUGGACUCUGCUCUACCCUGUUGACCAUUGGUUGGAGGGUGUCCCUGCCGAGGUGAAGAAAUGCAGCUGCUAGCUCUUGAACAACCUUAAAACCUCACAAGCUUCAGGGCCCCAGAAGAAUCUCCUAAUCUCACAACGUACCCGUUGUUGCAUCCUAGAAUUUAAAACCUGAAACUGUUGGGCUCAAGGAAACCUGGGGGUUUCAAAGCCCUGCACCAAGGAAGGCAGGGUCCCCGCUCGCCAGCUUUGUGAUUUGCAGCAAGUUGCUUGGCUACUUCAUGCCUCACCGCUGUCCCCAUCUGUAUAACACCCAUUUUGACAAGAUGGACCUCAAAGGGCUGUGUGGUAAGGAGUGAUUAUUACCGUUUGUGAGAAGA